rnacentral:rRNA from 1 species
UACGUAGGGGGCAAGCGUUGUCCGGAAUCAUUGGGCGUAAAGAGCGUGUAGGCGGCCAGGAACGUCCGCUGUGAAAACUCGAGGCUCAACUUCGAGCUGUCGGUGGAAACUUUCUGGCUAGAGUCCGGAAGAGGAGAAUGGAAUUCCUGGUGUAGCGGUGAAAUGCGCAGAUAUCAUGAAGAACACCCGUGGCGAAGGCGGUUCUCUGGGACGGUACUGACGCUGAGACGCGAAAGCGUGGGGAGCGAACAGG